ACUUAAAUAAUUUAAAUAAAAUAUUGAUCUGUGGAGUCAAAAAUAAGAUGUUAUAUCUUUUUAAGUA
rnacentral:tRNA from 1 species